CAGAAAAAUCCUCGUUUGAAUGAUUUGUGUUGUAUUGUGAGUAUUGCAAAUGGGAGUCCAACUAGCAAAAAAAGUGUGAGGAAAAAAAACAGAGGUUAACAAAGUGUCUCGUACCCUAUUCUCCCCCAAUUCAAGUAAAAGUUGUUCUCCUCUGGGAGGUGCUCAUACAGAAAGAAAAGCUAUGAGAUA